rnacentral:lncRNA from 1 species
UCACUUCUUAAGCCGCCCAAACUGAGAGAUACCAGUUUGUCUACGAAAGUGGCCGAUCUCCAUCGCUGGUUUUCUUUUACUAGCCAAUUAAAACAAUUUGUCGCCGUUCGCAUUUUCCGGCGAACUUCUUCUAUUCGGGUUUUUCAAUGGGUUGAAAAUGACCUCUUCUGAAUCAGUCCAAGGGUUUAAAGCUCUUGGGGGUUUUGAAGUAAAGGAUUAAUUUAUGAGACAGAAAGAGUUGAAUUUCAUAGAUGAGAGGUUGAACGUAUUUCUUCUUCACUAAUUGAGUUCAAUCGGUAUUUAAUAACAUAUUUUUGUUGUAAAAUACAGAAUCAAACUUCAAUAAUUUUACAAAUUCAAGUAGUACUAAUGAAAAAAUAUAAAACGAAAUUUGUGAUUUUUAGGGCAAUGUGAAGCAAAAAUUGGGAGGAGAGGUAGGGCAGCCGUGGUGGUUCUUGGCGAUAGUGGAGGUACGAUUCUUUAUUUUUUCCCAUUUUCACGCACACACACAAACAUAUACACACAUUUAUAUCCAAAUUGAAUGUCAAUGCAGUUUAUUGAAUGUCAUAUUGUAUUUCAAUCUAAAUAAUUAUUUUAUGCGUGGCUUACACUUGACUUGACAGUCAUGAUCAUUUGUGUAUAUCGUUUGAAUUCAGAGUAUAUGCAGCAGGCUGUUAGUUUGGCUGUUAAUUUGUUAUUAUUGCAGUGGCAUGGAGAACUUGGUUUUUAAUGGAAAAUGUAAAUGUUAUUUUCGUGGCUAAUAUAAUUAUUUAUUGCAAGCCUAAGGAUAUUGAAUUUUCUUUAAGAUUUUGGCCAAAAAAACAAAAAAAAACUUUAACAAAUAAAUGUCAUUAAAGGGCUAAAGUUUAGAAUUCUGAUAUAUUACUUGGGCCUACUUGCUUGUGGUAAACUCAGGCAAUUUGCCUGGUAAUUUAGUCUGGCAUAGAACUUCGUAGUGACAGUUGUUGGAUAAAAAUAAUAACCAGUAGGGAUAUAGAAUCCGAAUUUACCACCAAAUAUUGAGAAUAGGUAAUCCAAAUAUGUGCGACACAAGAACACAAUAAUAUAGAUAUAAGAUUAGAAGAACUAUCCGUAGACCAGGCCUGCAAUGCAUUGUUAUUAAUGAAAUACUUCAGCUCCCUCAGAGUUAAAAGAAAAGAACAUAAUAUUGUCAAAAUGCGACAUUAAUUUAAUCCAUCUGUUGUAAGCUUUGUAGCUCACAGCCUAUCUUGUACUCGGUACUCCCUCAGUCUUAAAAUGAUUACUUUUUAGCUUUCUAAAUUUUUCUUUACACACAUUAAAAAUCUAUAAUUUUUUAUUAGUAUUUUUAAAUAUUAUUCUCUAUUUAUUAUAAAAAAAAUUGUUUACAUGUAUUCUUGACAAAUCUUAAUGAGCUUGAGGAAACUUAAACAGUCAAAUGUGGUGAUCAUCAUUCAUCAACGAUCAUAUAAUAUUAACUUUAUUUUUAAUUUGAAUGAGAAUUUACUGUUUUGAGUCCCAUUUAAUUUUUUAGCAAGUUAUUACAAUUAUUGAAUGUGAUCAACAUAAGACUGCUUUACUAAAUUCUUCACCGGGAUCAAUAAAUGUUAACCAAAUUAAAACCUUAUUCCCUUCAAGUCAGUCACAUAUGAAUAAUGCCGUGCAGUGGCGAAGCUACAUAGACAAUUGUGGGGUCAAUUGACCCCACUGGAAAAAAAAAUUGUUUUAUAAUGUAAGGUAAAUUUUAAAAAAUUUAGGUAUUAUAUAUAAAUCGACACCACUAAAAUUUUAUAAAUUUUCUAUUACACGGGGUCAAAUUGAAAAUUUAUAAUUUUGUUAAUCAAAUUUUAACCACAUAUGACUCAUAUCCUCUCAAUAUAUGUAUAUCUCUCUAUAAUAUUUUAAACUAAAUAAUAAUCUAAUUUAUAUUAUUUUUAAAAAUAAUUAAUGAAUUAAUUACUUAUGAACUGUUGUGAUUAAAAAAGUCUAUUAUGAGUCAAUAUAGUGUAUAUAAACCAUGUAUUAUUACUUAUUAUAUUGUCAUUGUAAUAUAGUAUAUAUAUACAUAUACGUGCGUGUGAAACCUGAAAAUACAAAAAUAUUAGAAAAAAUGGCUCGGGGCGUUGUCCCCGAACCCCUGCCAAAUUAUUUAUAACUUAGUAAUAAUUUCGACCCCAGUGCAAAUUAUUCCUGGCUUCGCUACUGAUGCCAUGCACAUUUCUUAAUACAUCACUGGAACCAAGUUCUUGAUAUGAUAAAGAAUCGUAAAAUAUAGGAGUAUAUUAGUACGUAUAACUUCUUUAGAUUGUGUAACUAUUUCUCUGUUAUUUUUCACUUAAAGAUAUGACAUAGAAAUAAUAGGAAAACUCCAGUUAUUUGUGGAAAAGUUGUAGGAAUGUUUCUUUGAUAAUAUAGUUGCUACUGAUAUUUCCUGGACUUCAUACAAAUCACAAACCUAACACUUAAUAUUCAUCACAACCAUUAUUAUUCUCCUAACUAUUUGUUGAAUUCAUGUAUCAUUACUGUUUGAAAGCAAAUCCUGCUAAUUCAUAUUAGAACUCCAUGGCUUGAGAUAAUAUUACCCAUGUAUUCCACAGGAAAGAAAGAAGCCUGCAACAUUUACCGAAACAAUAAAGUAUAUGCCUGACAUAAGUCCUCACUGGGUAUUACUCUUCCCGAAUUAUUGUUAAUCUCUUCAACGGAACUGCUCGUGAACCUACCCCCAGAAUUUGGUCAUUAUGCAUUUUUUUCUUGUUAUUACUAGUUAUUCUUCGUAGAAGUUGACCUCGAACACCCUAUCUUCUCUGCGUUUGUUCAUAUGAUCGUGAAAAAGCAUGAAGCUGAUAGGAACUUGAGAGAGUAAUGUUGUACUUGAGGCAUAAUCACAAAGUCUUGCCUUAGCAUCUCAAAAUAAAUUUUGAAUUUGUUACUAGUCUUAGUUAAUAACACAGAGAUUUGUUGAGCUUAACAUUUUCUUGUCUGCCUCUGACAAUUAUUGGUGUUUAUUAUUAGGUGUGAACCGGCACAUAUUGUGAAAUGAGAACGAAAGAUUGUCUUCUAUCAUUUCAUUUCGCAUAUGAUCUGUGUUGACUUCGUCUCUGCAGUCUAUUAGUAUUUUACAUCUAUCUAACAAAAUCAUACAGUGAACUAAUGACAUAUUAAAAGUUUCCAUACUAGAAACGCUUGCAGCAAAUUUUAAAUGCAUGUGAUACAAUUACAAAUAGCCAAAACAAAAAGUUAAACACUAAUGAAAAGUCCAAAAUAAUUAAUCACUCAAAUACACAUGUUCAAUGCCAAUUUACACAAACAACUACCAACAUCAUAAUUCAUAUAUAUCCUAUUCAACAACCAAAGCUGGAUGGAUUAACUUCACACGCUCAUAAAAACCAAAAAGCUAAUAUAAUCAGCACAAAUACUUUAGAAAAUUAAUCAAACCAAAAGUCUAUCAAUCAACCGAAUUAAAAUGGUUUCAAACGCCAAUACUCCACAGAGAUAUGAUUAAGGAGUCCUAUAUAUUUAGGAAAAAAGCAAAAACAAAAUAAAUAAUUUAAAAAUUAGAGUUUUUGUUUGCAUCAGGUAGGCGUGAUGAGAUACGAUUUGAAAUGUAUAUUAUACAAGUAAUGUUUUUUGAAUCUGCUCCAAAAGCUGUAUAGGAUGUCUAAAUCUUUAUUAAUGAGAGACAAAAUUUCAAAACUGGGUCUACCUUAUUGAUAUCGUUUCCCAAAGAACGAAUUUUUCUGUGAUGGACAUUUACCAAUAAAUUAUGUUUCUGUUGCAUUUGUUAUAUUUUCUUACACGAUUCAAGUUAGACUGGUUAUAUUGUUUCCUCAGUUUAUUUUGUAUGUUAAUUGUUUAUUGAUAUCAAUGAGAUCUCCAUGUUUUAGAAUAUGCUAAAAAAAUCAUUUUCUCUGCUCAUCGCAAUUUUCUUGUCCAAGACAUGAAUCAAACAUGAGUUGCAGUGUUUCUCUCUUCAUGCUACUUGUUCAUACAUUCAAGGGGCUAUAUUUAGUUAUUGAAGGAACAUCGCUGGAAAUUAGGCUGUUGAUUGUUGUCCUCCACAAGUGAACCAUGGUUUUAAGUUCCCAUGUGGACUUUCAUAGCUGUAGAAUUGUCCACUGGAUAAAAGAGCAUUAGUUUCUAAUAGCAUUUUUAUUAGCUGGGACCAAUGACAUGAUAUCUUGCACCACAAGGCUGAUCAUGGAGCUAAGUGCCAUGUGGACAAAAUAUGUAAAGUUAGGCAUGCUUGGUGGACAAAAAUCAAGCAAUUUUUCAAUGAGCAUUUUAUAUAGAUAGGAAGACCUUUCCAUGUUGUAUAUAAUGAUAUAAUUUGAUCUGAUCUUAUUUGCAAGGCUGGAAUUUAGAUACUUGUAGCCGAGGUAUGUUUUGCAUUAAGUUCUAGUCUUAAUGUUAUGUUUUGUUGAUACAUGCGCUGCACAAAAGAAAAUAGACAUAAUGAACAAGUAUUUCUUUUCCUCUGCUGGUAACAAUUUUUAUUUCUGGUUGUUUAGCUGUAAGGUAUCUGAUGUAAGAGAUAUUUUCCUUUCCUUUUUUAAAUGUAUUUUGUAUUAUGAAUGUCGGCAAUUAAAUCAUGUGGGUGAGCUAUACAAUAAUAUCUGCAGCAUUAUGGGAGGACAGAUCACACUUGCUGAUGUGGAUGUGGAUGGAUCAAUAGGAGAGCACAUAGCCACUUCCCGAAAGGGAAAUAUCAAAAUGUGUCCCUUAUAAUUUGGAGUUAACUCCAUGUCUCUGGUGAUUCAUGGGGACCAGACUUGGUCUCCUGUUGACACAUUAUUAGUUAUUACUCAUCGUCUAUUCUUUUAUUCCUUUCUAUUGCGGCUGAGAAAAAAUGGGGCCUUCAAUUAUUUCUGGUGAAAGCGGCUCAUGUCCAAAUAAUAUAAUAUUUUCUCUUCUUUUAACAUAUUUUCAUUUUGUAUUGGAGUCUGUAAAGAAGCUAUACAAUAGAUGGUUUGUGGGGUACAUCUUGGUUAGGUGUCUUUUAUUUUAUUUAGGUGGCCCAUUAAACACUUUCUUUCACCUGAUAAGCAGCUUUUUCUGUUUCCUUCUGUAUCUGGUCCAUGUUCCUCAUUUAUGUUGACCAAGUGUUAAAUAGUUUGGUCAUGUCAUCUUUGUUCGUUAAUUGCUAGUCAGUUACCUUUUCCAGCCAAAAAUCCUGGAGAUGUCUUUUGACCUUUUAAUAAUGGAAGCAAGGUUAAUGUGGUUAAAACAUCUAUAUAGUGUCCUGAUGUUUAGAUUUAGGUUUUUCUAGCUGAAAUCAUGUGGAGGAUUCUUGUAUAUACUUGUAUUUGUUAUUUAUGAUUCAAACAUUAGUCGGCUUCUAAUACAAUUCGAUAUGUGGCAACGCGUACUUUGCACUUCAUCUUGUAUUUACAGAAUUUGGAAAUGAUUAUUACAUAGACCAGCAAGGCUUCUUCUGUCCCACUCUCAUCCUCUGCGUCACUCCUUGUAUAACUAACAUGUAAUACUUGUUCACUUAUUGUUCGUUAAAUAUAACCAUUAUGUUAUUUUAAUAUGUUAUCUAUGAAUAAUCAAGUGUGUGUGUGUCUCUCUCUCUCUCUCUAUAUAUAUAUAUAUAUUGUAUAUGUAUAUAUUGAUGGUUUGCCUACUAAGAUAAUGAGGCAUACUUGCACUUAGAAAAAAGAGACCCGUUUAAGCAUCAUUAUUUGUUAGUUGUUCACUUAUUUGUUGAUUAUGUAUGCUGCAAAAUAGUAGGCAGAUUUGUAUGGAUGAAUAUUUUAAAAAUGGUUGGUUGAAUUAGAUCAUAUAAUGCAAUAAUUUAGUCAAUUGUAAUACAUCAUGAGAUACGUCAGGUUCCAUAUAUAGCAUUAUAGAAGCCAGAUAGUGGUAUAAUCUAUUUCCCCCUUUACUUUGCUCUUAUUAUUAAGAAUUACAUCUACCCAUUUUGUACCUACGCAGGUCUCAGCGGACCAAUAGCAUGCCAGAAGCUCCAGAAAUUUAGGCAUUUAGUCAGGAAAGC